AGAGUUUGAUCCUGGCUCAGAUUGAACGCUGGCGGCAGGCCUAACACAUGCAAGUCGAACGGUAACAGGAAGAAGCUUGCUUCUUUGCUGACGAGUGGCGGACGGGUGAGUAAUGUCUGGGAAACUGCCUGAUGGAGGGGGAUAACUACUGGAAACGGUAGCUAAUACCGCAUAACGUCGCAAGACCAAAGAGGGGGACCUUCGGGCCUCUUGCCAUCGGAUGUGCCCAGAUGGGAUUAGCUAGUAGGUGGGGUAACGGCUCACCUAGGCGACGAUCCCUAGCUGGCCUGAGAGGGUGAUCGGCCACACUGGGACUGAGACACGGCCCAGACUCCUACGGGAGGCAGCAGUAGGGAAUCUUCGGCAAUGGGGGCAACCCUGACCGAGCAACGCCGCGUGAGUGAAGAAGGUUUUCGGAUCGUAAAGCUCUGUUGUAAGUCAAGAACGAGUGUGAGAGUGGAAAGUUCACACUGUGACGGUAGCUUACCAGAAAGGGACGGCUAACUACGUGCCAGCAGCCGCGGUAAUACGUAGGUCCCGAGCGUUGUCCGGAUUUAUUGGGCGUAAAGCGAGCGCAGGCGGUUUGAUAAGUCUGAAGUUAAAGGCUGUGGCUCAACCAUAGUUCGCUUUGGAAACUGUCAAACUUGAGUGCAGAAGGGGAGAGUGGAAUUCCAUGUGUAGCGGUGAAAUGCGUAGAUAUAUGGAGGAACACCGGUGGCGAAAGCGGCUCUCUGGUCUGUAACUGACGCUGAGGCU
rnacentral:rRNA from 1 species